GUUUCAAGUUCGAAGACAUGCAAGCUUUUGAAGUCAAUCUCAAGGUUGAAAGCUUUUGAAAUCAGAAAAUGUGUUCAAUCUUUGCAGUUCUCCUAGUCUAGCAGGGCUGAAGUAUAGUCAAUUAGGACCUGGGUUUCAAGAGGCAGUUGUUUGUGGGCUUUAUAGAAAUGGGAAGAUAUACGUCCACCCAAAUGAUGAUGAGAUCUUGCAGGAAACUGACAAAGUAUUGCCCAUUUCACCUGUUAAUGGGGGUAAGAAGUCUCCUAUUACUUAUUCGAUGUUAAAGAAAUAAGUGAUGCCAAUCAAAGUUUGGAAGAUGUAGAAAAGGACAGUGACACUCAAUCGCAUGCCUUAAAACAAAGGAAAGAAAACACACAUCCCAAGAGAAGAGGCUCCAAGGCUUCAAACGGGACUCUAGGACCUACAAAAUUUAUAGAUAUUUUUCAAUUUAUGAUAUUUUAUGUAGAUUGUACUAGCUUUGGUGUGCAAUUCACACCAA